GCGGGCGGGAGGACGCGGGGCCGGCGCCGCGGGGCGGGGGAGGCAGCGCGAGGGAGUGCGGAAAGAGUUAAGAGUGGCGGGGCAGGCUGGCUGUCGGGAGCGAGCAUGUGCAGAUUGAAACCGCAUCCAUACUACGGGCGAGUGUCGCUGUCACACUUCACCUCCCGCCGGCCGCGGGGCACCCAUGGACACCGGAAGUCUGUCUGGUUGCUGUAUUAACUGUUGGUCACACACACCUGGGCGGAAAACGACUGGCAUCUGAAACCCCUUGGACUUGCUGGAGGCAGCCUAGUCUACCUGCGGAUGUUGUGAAUUAAGAGCUGGCCAAAGAGUGGGAGAGCUCCAGGAUCCCUCCCUGGAAAAGAGUGCU
rnacentral:lncRNA from 1 species